rnacentral:rRNA from 1 species
AUAGUUUGAUGCUGGCUCAGAAUCAACGCUGGCGGCGUGCCUAACACAUGCAAGUCGAGCGAGAAAGGGGACUUCGGUCCCUGAGUAGAGCGGCGGACGGGUGAGUAACACGUGGGUAAUCUGCCCUCGGGUGGGGAAUAACUCAGGGAAACCUGGGCUAAUUCCGCAUGACAUUCCGGUGCAUACGUACUGGUAAUCAAAGCUGGGGACCCUUCGGGGCCUGGCGCCUGAGGAGGAGCCCGCGGCCAAUUAGCUUGAUGGUGAGGUAAUGGCUCACCAUGGCUUCGAUUGGUAGCCGGCCUGAGAGGGCGGACGGUCACACUGGGACUGAGACACGGCCCAGACUCCUACGGGAGGCAGCAGUGGGGAAUUUUUGUCAAUGGGGGAAACCCUGAACAAGCAACGCCGCGUGGAGGACGAAGACCUUCGGGUUGUAAACUUCUGUCGGAGGGGACGAAGGCAUUAUUGGUUAAUACCCAGUAGUGUUGACGGUACCCUACGAGGAAGCCCCGGCUAACUCCGUGCCAGCAGCCGCGGUAAUACGGGGGGGGCAAGCGUUGUUCGGAAUUACUGGGCGUAAAGGGCGCGUAGGCGGACGGGACAGUCUUUCGUGAAAUCCCACGGCUCAACCGUGGAACUGCGGGAGAUACUACUCGUCUUGAGUUCGGGAGAGGAGUGUGGAAUUCCCAGUGUAGCGGUGAAAUGCGUAGAUAUUGGGAGGAACACCGGUGGCGAAGGCGGCACUCUGGACCGAUACUGACGCUGAGGCGCGAAAGCUAGGGGAGCAAACGGGAUUAGAUACCCCGGUAGUCCUGGC